CUACCUUCGUUUCUAAAGCAAAAAACUCGUCACCUUCUUCAUACACCAGAUCCAUUUUCACAACAAACUAAAUGGCUGAAAACUUGAUCCAGAGGCUAGAAGCCGCCGUAACACGGCUGGAAUCAUUCUCCCGCGGCUCUCUUUCUCAGCCGCAAGCUGCCCCACUCGACGCCGCAUCAGCCUCAUCGGAACCGUCCAUCGUCGCAUUUGACGAUCUCAUCACGCAAUACGUCGAUAAGGUCACCGAUGCGUCCCAGAAGAUCGGCGGACAGAUUAAGGAUAUUUCGAAUGUUCUUAAACAGGCGUUUUCCGCUCAGAAGGAGCUUCUCGUUAAGAUUAAACAAACUCAGAAACCUGAUGCUGCAGGAAUGGCGGAAUUUCUGAGGCCAUUAAAUGAAAAAAUAGGUGAAGCAGUUAAAAUGACAGAAGGACCCCGUUCCGAUUUCUUCAACCACGUGAGGUCUGUUGCUGAAAGCCUGACCGCUUUAGCAUGGAUUGCAUAUACAGGGAAAAAUUGCGGAAUGAGCAUGCCUAUUGCACAUGUUGAAGAAUGUUGGCAGUCAGCUGAGUUUUAUAGUAACAAGGUCCUUGUAGAAUUCAAAAAUAAAGAUCCAAGUCACGUAGAAUGGGCAAAAGCUCUCAAGGAGCUUUAUGUACCAGGGUUACGGGAUUAUGUAAAGAGUCACUAUCCUUUGGGACCCGUAUGGAGUGCAACAGGGGCAACUGUAUCUGCUCCAUCAAAGUCUUCUGGACCAGGUGCUCCUGCUGCUCCAAAUCCUCCACCAGCUUCACUCGCCAGCUCAUCGUCUUCUUCAUCUUCUUCGUCCCGUCCACAACAAGGAAUGUCUGCGGUUUUUCAAGAAAUUAGUUCAAAGCCUGUUACUGCUGGAUUAAAAAAAGUUACAGAUGACAUGAAGACGAAAAACCGCACAGAUAGAGCAGGAUUUGUGAGUUCUGGUGAAAAAGAACCGCGCAAGAGUGCGCCAGCAGCAGCUGCUAAAGUUGGUCCUCCAAAAUUUGAGCUUGUUAUGGGUCGCAAAUGGGUCGUUGAGAAUCAAAUCGGCGUGAAGGAUUUGUCUAUCGAUGAUUGUGAUCCAAGACAAACAGUUUAUAUUUUCGGAUGCAAAGAUUCAGUUCUUCAGAUAAAAGGGAAAGUUAACAACAUAACUGUUGACAAAUGCACAAAAAUGGGUGUCCUAUUUACGGAUGUUGUUGCCGCUUUUGAGAUUGUUAAUUGCAGCAGUCUUGAGGUGCAAUGCCAGGGUGCAGCACCUACCAUUUCAAUAGACAACACAGCAGGUGUCCAGCUGUACUUGAGCAAAGAUUCUCUAGAAGCUUCCAUCACAACUUCCAAGGCAAGUGAAGUUAAUGUGAUGGUACCUCCCAAAGAUCCUAAUGCUGAUAUGGCGGAACAUCCUAUGCCACAUCAGUACAUUCACACUUACCAGGAUGGCCACUUUGUUACAACCCCUGUAUCCCACUCUGGAGCGUAAUUGGGUACGCACACCAAGUUUCAACCAUCUCUUAAAAUGUGAUUACGAUAAUGUUUUCUGUAGAUUUGGAUAUGGAGAGUAAAGGCAGCUGUUUGACAGUUAAUAUUAAGGUUGUACUACAUGGUUUCCUUAUUAUGCAUCAUUUUUGCUGUGAUAGUGACCUUUAUGCUAUCAUCUUGAGUGAGUUGUAAUAACUAAUAAGUGCUGAUUGAGGUAUUUGGUUCCAAAAUAUUAUUGUUGGACCACAAAGACUCAAAAGACUUGUAACCCAACUAUAUUUUGUUGUAAUAAAGGGUCUGAGUAUAGCCUAGAGUUUCAUCCGU